CCUACGGGUGGCAGCAGUGGGGAAUAUUGGGCAAUGGAGGCAACUCUGACCCAGCAACGCCGCGUGAAUGAUGAAGGUCUUCGGAUUGUAAAGCUCUGUGAUGGGGGAUGAACACAAUGACGGUACCCCAAUAGCAAGCCACGGCUACCUACGUGCCAGCAGCCGCGGUAAUACGUAGGUGGCACGCGUUAUCCGGAAUGACUGGGCGUAAGGGGUGCGUAGGUGGUUUAGUAAGUUGGCGGUGUAAUUCCGGGGCUCAACCUGGGCGCUACCGACGAAACUAUUGGACUAGAGUGCAGGAGAGGUAAGUGGAAUUCCUGGUGUAGCAGUGGAAUGCGUAGAUAUUAGGAGGAACAUCAGGGGCGAAGGCGACUUACUGGACUGUAACUGACGCUGAGGCACGAAAGCGUGGGGAGCAAACAGGAUUAGAUACCCGUGUAGUC
rnacentral:rRNA from 1 species